GCUUGGGAUUGGCUGGCGGGACUCGGGGACGCCUGAUGUCCCGAACGGCGCCCCCGCAGGAAGAACAAUUGAAGAAUCCCCUUCUAGAACAUCGAAAAAGGAAUCUUAAGGAAAGAAAUGGACUCAAGCGGAUUUUCCAGAGUCAGUUUGAUUCAGUUGAAGACAUGCAGAUCCCAUAACAACAUCUUGUAAUGGAAAGCAGCCAAAAAAAGAAAAAUCAUGCUUCUGGGUUGAACUGAUUAGUUUUAAACCUGUUUUUGAUUUGUGUGUUUGGAUAUGUUCCAAAGUCAUAUGAGUAUGUCAGAUUUAUAAAGCUGCUCCUAAUUCAGAGGUUGAGGAUGUAUGUGAUCUUGAUCAAGUAGAAAAAAUAAUCCAACAGUCUUAAGUACCAAUAAGGAAUGAAAGAUAAAACUGCUCUGGAACAACCUGCUCUACGAUUGCCUUUCCUAAGAGGACAAAAAAAUGGGUCUUUUCACCCUCAUGUUCGAUAAGAGUCAAUGGAAUUCAAGGAGGGCCAGAUUUGGAUCUCUUGUGGGUACGAAGGGAUUCCAGGCUACUGACGUGCUUCCCCUCCCUUCCUCGGGCUCAGCUUGAUCGUCUCCUGCAUCACUCUUCAUGUGGAAGCUCCAUUAAGCUGCUUGAGCAAUCCUCUCCCCAUUCUCAGUCUGACAUUUGCAAGCCUGUCAUCUGUAGAUGCCUCUUGGGUCAGCUUGCACUGUUGUUUCUGCUUGGAUGAAGACACUUUUUUCUCCACCACACAAUGAAGGCCAUUUCUUAACAUCAGAGAUUGCUUUCUUCAGCCUAGUUAUGUUUUUCAGAACCUUAGGCAAAUCAUAAUCUAAAUUUGCCAGUGUGAGUUGAAGAUCUCUUGCAAAGAAUUGAGAGGGUUCCAAAAGGCUCCUUUGGAAGGCAGAAAACCUCCUGAGAUGGCCAAGCGGUCAGAGGAGCUUUAGUAGGAAGGGUUCUUAGUGUAUCAGAAAAGACAACCUCUGGGCAAUUUACAUUUGGGACAAGAGUUCAUCCAAGUUCUUAAUUAAAAAAAAAAGUGGCUCCAGGCCCAUCUUUGAAUUCCAAGGAGCAACCAGGGUUUGGAGCAUCUGCCUGUAGAACAGAGGUCUCCUGGGAUCAGGAGACCAGAGACUGGUAUCGAACCUUCUGUCUCCCCACUUAACUUUCCAGGAAGCUGAGGACUAUAGUGCUACAAACUAUUGAUCAAUAAAUUGGUCUUGUCACAAUAGCCCUCACAAAUAUCUGGCCCAUGUCAGUAACAAAACAAAUUCUAGUUUGUAGUUUCACACAUGCAGAUUAUGGGUACUUCAUGACGCAAGUGACAUUUUCUGGAAAUGAACAGCUGAAAAGGAUUUCAGAAAGCUUGAGAAAAUGAGAUUCUGCAAAUAAAGUGCUUGAAUAUGAGUGUUUUCAAACACUGCAUGUUAUUCAAGUGUAUUGAGUAAUAUUCUAAUUGUGGAAAUAGUUAAAGGGACUUUGGGCAUGUUUAGAAAUGCUACCAGAAGACAAUAACAAUGAAACAGACUUAUUAUAUUGUAAUGCCAUAUAGGCAUUGCAUAUAGUGAAAGUCAGAUAAUGCUUAGAUAUUAAACAUGAACCUGUGAUCUUUCAAAAAGGAAAGCCAAAAUGGUUUUUUGAAAUAUGGUUUUCUAGAAUUUCUAAACUACCAAUCCAAGAGCUAUCCUGACCCUUCAAACAGAAUUUAAACCACAGCCUUCCUACUGAAGUACAACUUUUUAGUAGGAACACCCAAAGAUCUAUUUUUCAUCCAUUAAAAUUUCAAUUUAACCACCA